rnacentral:rRNA from 1 species
GUCCUCUUGAUUAUAUUUUGAGGUCUGGCCUGCUCACUGACAAGGUUUUAAAGAGCCGCGGUAUUUUGACCGUGCAAAGGUAGCAUAAUCAUUAGUCUCUUAAUUAGGGGCUGGAAUGAAUGGCUUGACGAGAAAUCAACUGUCUCUUAAUAAUUUUUAAAAUUUAACUUUUGAGUCAAAAGGCUUAAAUUUUUCUUUAGGACGAGAAGACCCUAUAGAGCUUAACAUUAUAUUUUUAUAUAGUUUUUAGUUGAUCUUUCUAUAUUUAAUGAUAAUGUUUUGUUGGGGUGACAUGAAGAAUAAUUAAACUCUUCAUUAUAAAAUCAUUGAUUUAUGUUUAUCAUGAUCCAUAAUUUAUGAUCAUAAGAUUAAGUUACCUUAGGGAUAACAGCGUAAUUGUUUUCGAGAGCUCAUAUCGACAAAGCAGAUUGCGACCUCGAUGUUGGAUUAAGAAAAAUUUUGGGUGCAGGAGCCCAAUAAUUAGGUCUGUUCGACCUUUAAAUUCUUACA